UACGUAGGGUGCGAGCGUUAAUCGGAAUACUGGGCGUAAAGCGUGCGCAGGCGGUUGUGUAAGACAGAUGUGAAAUCCCCGGGCUCAACCUGGGAACUGCAUUUGUGACUGCACGGCUGGAGUGCGGCAGAGGGGGAUGGAAUCCGCGUGUAGCAGUGAAAUGCGUAGAUAUGCGGAGGAACACCGAUGGCGAAGGCAAUCCCCUGGGCCUGCACUGACGCUCGAUGCACGAAAGCGUGGGGAGC
rnacentral:rRNA from 1 species